UAAUGAGUUGCUGCUUCAUUUCCUAAAGCAAGGCAUUUCUUCAUUGCAGCGUCCUUGAGACUUUGUGCUGCGCGGGGUGCUCACUCAAUCUUGGCUACGUGUACAGAUGCACGCCCAAGAAUCUUGAUUACAAGAGAGACUUGUUUUGCCUCAGUGUUGAAGCCAUUGAAAGUUAUGUUUUAGGGUCCUCUGAAAAGCAAAUUGUGUCAGAAGAUAAAGAGCUUUUUAAUCUUGAAAGCAGAGUUGAAAUAGAAAAGUCUCUAACACAGGUAAUUUUAUUCGUACAUUUUAUAUCUUUGUAUGAACAGUUUGUCAGUGAAGAAGUGCUCCCCCACAAACGAUAAUUCUCAUAACGUCAUCUGUGUUG
rnacentral:sRNA from 1 species